rnacentral:rRNA from 1 species
AUGAGGCCUGUGCACCUCCAGGAGGUCCUAUGUUCAAAACAUACACAUGAGCACCCAUCUCAUUAUCUAGGUCCACACAUCCCUCUCUCUUUUGAAGCACCCACACCUCUCCACGCGAUGCGUUCUCUUGGUCUCUCUCCCAUCCAAAAAAAGGCACACCGCCAUGCUCGUCUUGCUACCCCCAUCUAUUUAGUUGUCUCUCUACAACAAACAAGCAUUCAUCUCUCUCUCCGCUAUCUCUCUCUACCACACAUAACCUUACACCCCCUAGCCAGCCGUGCUGUCGAGAAAAAAACCGCGCAGCCCGAUCCAGAUCCCCAACCUCCUCUCCUCUCCCAACGCACUCGCCGUCGGCCUCCCUUCCACCUUCUCUCCUCCGUCCGCCCGCCGUCCCCACCAAGCACCACCCGUCCGCCACUGCCACCACCUUCCUCUCCCUCUCCACCUGCGCGUGCCGCCUCCCCCAGCGCCCCGCCCCCCUCGUCGUCUCCUCUGGCGGACGGGGUUGGCCCCGCGGCGACGACGCGGGGCGAUGUGUACCUGGGGCGGCAGCUCGUGGCCGCGGCCGCGGCGGGCGCCCGCGCGCGCGCUAGAGGAGACCAAGCAGCGGCAGAGCAGGGAGCUCGCCUCUCCCUGGAAGCAGCCAUGGAGCGCCUCUGCAGCUCUCCCGAAACCCUUGACGCCGUUUUCCGCGACCAAGCAGCGCCAGAGGAGGGAGCGAGCACCGCUGCCGGCUUCGAUCUAGUCACCCUGGCCAAGAAGACGCCCUCCGGCGUCGCCUGCUGCUACGGCUGCGGCACCCCGCUGCACACCGGCGAGGAGGGGUCCCCCGGCCACGUCGAGCCGGCCACCUACGACCUGUUAAAAACCAAACUGUCAAAUCUGGACAGAACUGAAGCUCUGAUCUGCUCUGUCACAACUGAAGCAAAAUACAGUACUGUAGUUAGUGAAAACAUCUCAGUCAAGAUACAUCCUGCAGAUUGGAACAAGUAUGUGUUUGUUGUGCAUCUGGCCGAGAGCUUCGCGGAGGUGGACCCGCUGGAGCCGGCACUUCACGGUUUUGAGAUCUUUGCUUUCCCAUGCAACCAGUUUGUCAGCCUCUUUCGCACCCAUUGUGUUGAGGACCAAUGCCAGGUUCUGGUAGCGACGAUGACGGUCGUCGAGAGGUUCAUGGACUGGACGGUGUCGUGGCAGCCGAUGUACAGAGAAGCGAAGCUGCUGCUCAUUCUCUACCUCCGUCCGCUGGUGGCGAGGCACAAGGACGACAUCGACCGGUCCAGUUGGAGCUGA